rnacentral:rRNA from 1 species
CAGUCGCCACGGUAAUACGGAGGGUGCAAGCGUUAAUCGGAAUUACUGGGCGUAAAGCGUGCGCAGGCGGUGUUGUAAGACUGAUGUGAAAUCCCCGGGCUCAACCUGGGAACUGCAUUGGUGACUGCAACGCUGGAGUGCGGCAGAGGGGGAUGGAAUUCCGCGUGUAGCAGUGAAAUGCGUAGAUAUGCGGAGGAACACCGAUGGCGAAGGCAAUCCCCUGGGCCUGCACUGACGCUCAUGCACGAAAGCGUGGGGAGCAAACAGGAUUAGAUACCCCCGUAGUCCCUGUCUCUUAUAC